rnacentral:rRNA from 1 species
UGGGGAAUUUUGGACAAUGGGCGAAAGCCUGAUCCAGCAAUGCCGCGUGUGUGAAGAAGGCCCUCGGGUUGUAAAGCACUUUUGUCCGGAAAGAAAACGCCGUGGUUAAUACCCGUGGCGGAUGACGGUACCGGAAGAAUAAGCACCGGCUAACUACGUGCCAGCAGCCGCGGUAAUACGUAGGGUGCAAGCGUUAAUCGGAAUUACUGGGCGUAAAGCGUGCGCAGGCGGUCCGCUAAGACAGAUGUGAAAUCCCCGGGCUUAACCUGGGAACUGCAUUUGUGACUGGCGGGCUAGAGUAUGGCAGAGGGGGGUAGAAUUCCACGUGUAGCAGUGAAAUGCGUAGAGAUGUGGAGGAAUACCGAUGGCGAAGGCAGCCCCCUGGGCCAAUACUGACGCUCAUGCACGAAAGCGUGGGGAGCAAACAGG